GGUCCUGAGAGAAAUAGCUCCUCUCUCAGUUCAGGAGGACCAUAUACGUUGUGUGGCUCUAGUUCCACCAGCUCUGUGUCACUACAAGAGGCCAGGAGGAGGCAUUCGGGUGUGUUCUGCAAUGGCACAUGGAGGAAGGAAGAAGGUGACAUGUGCCCCAGUUAGAUACAGCAAAUUCUAAAUGCAAGUCUCCAGCAGUGAAAGCAAGCGCAUGAAGUACACCCACUGCUCCUACUAAUGCUAAUAGUGGAAAAAAGAAGCAAGUCACUACCCCUGCACUCAGCCCCUUGAGUAGUGGCAGACAGGGCUUUGGGAAGGGAAGAGAAACUGGGAACAGAGAAAACAUGUGGCCCUUUUUUGAUGAAAUGUCCAUAAAACCGAAGGUCAUGACAUACAGCAGAUUCUACCAACAGUCCUGAUUAAUGGAGUGAAGCUUGAACAGAGAUGCUGACAGGCUGGCUCUGCCCCUCUUUAGAUGGAUGGAGAAGAGAGUGGGAGAAGUAACAUCCUAAUAUGAAA